rnacentral:rRNA from 1 species
CUGUAAAACGGGACGGCCCGCCAGAGGACCCAAACUCUAAUGUUUCUUAUUGUAACUUCUGAGUAAAACAAACAAAUAAAUCAAAACUUUCAACAACGGAUCUCUUGGUUCUGGCAUCGAUGAAGAACGCAGCAAAAUGCGAUAAGUAAUGUGAAUUGCAGAAUUCAGUGAAUCAUCGAAUCUUUGAACGCACAUUGCGCCCGCUGGUAUUCCGGCGGGCAUGCCUGUUCGAGCGUCAUUUCAACCCUCAAGCCCCCGGGUUUGGUGUUGGGGAUCGGCUCUGCCUUACGGCGGUGCCGCCCCCGAAAUACAUUGGCGGUCUCGCUGCAGCCUCCAUUGCGUAGUAGCUAACACCUCGCAACUGGAACGCGGCGCGGCCAUGCCGUAAAACCCCAACUUCUGAAUGUUGACCUCGGAUCAGGUAGGAAUA